UGUGCCCUGCAUCUGGUGGAGCCUCCUCCUGGGGAGGCGUUUGGGCACUGUGACUUUGCGCGGCAGAAGGGCAUGGCAUCGGGAGCAAUGGACUUUGCCUGAUGGGUGGUGUGACCAGGCCCUUAUUGGAGGUGUUGGAACCUGGGCCUCAAGCACCUAGUCCCAGGUGCUUCUCCCCGCGCCGCCGUUUGUCCCUUGAGAACCGAUUGGAAUAGUCCUAUGUGGAAUAUGUAGAAGUGACCCAGAACUUGAUGAUCCUACAUCUUUGUUCCAUUCUUGCCAAACUUAGGCACACCAAAAUUACAGUGAAGUAUGGAGCAACUAUUGAUGAGAAUGACCUAAAGACUUUCCACAACUAAACAUAUAAAGAAGGAGCCACAGUGAGACAACUAAGAGAGAAGUGGAGACAUAAUAUAGUCAAGACCCACAC